rnacentral:rRNA from 1 species
GACGAACGCUGGCGGCGUGCCUAAUACAUGCAAGUAGAACGCUGAAGGAGGAGCUUGCUUCUCUGGAUGAGUUGCGAACGGGUGAGUAACGCGUAGGUAACCUGCCUGGUAGCGGGGGAUAGCUAUUGGAAACGAUAGCUAAUACCGCAUAAGAGUAGAUGUUGCAUGACAUUUACUUAAAAGGUGCAAUUGCAUCACUACCAGAUGGACCUGCGUUGUAUUAGCUAGUUGGUGAGGUAACGGCUCACCAAGGCAACGAUACAUAGCCGACCUGAGAGGGUGAUCGGCCACACUGGGACUGAGACACGGCCCAGACUCCUACGGGAGGCAGCAGUAGGGAAUCUUCGGCAAGGGACGGAAGUCUGACCGAGCAACGCCGCGGGAGUGAAGAAGGGUUUCGGAUCGUAAAGCUCUGUUGUAAGAGAAGAACGAGUGUGAGAGUGGAAAGUUCACACUGUGACGGUAGCUUACCAGAAAGGGACGGCUAACUACGUG